UACAGAGGUCCCGAGCGUUGUUCGGAUUCAUUGGGCGUAAAGGGUGCGUAGGCGGUCUUCUAAGUUUGAUGUGAAAUUCCGGGGCUCAACCCUGGCAUGGCAUUGAAUACUGGAGGACUAGAGUACCGGAGAGGAAACUGGAAUUUACGGUGUAGCAGUGAAAUGCGUAGAGAUCGUAAGGAAGACCAGUGGCGAAGGCGAGUUUCUGGACGGUAACUGACGCUGAGGCAACGAAGGCCAGGGGAGCAAACGGG
rnacentral:rRNA from 1 species